GACGAACGCUGGCGGCGUGCUUAACACAUGCAAGUCGAACGGAAAGGCCCUGCUUUUGUGGGGUGCUCGAGUGGCGAAAGGGUGAGCAACACGUGAGUUACCUGCCCUUGAAUCUGGGAUACAUUCAGGAAACUGGGGCUAAUACCGGAUAGGAGCUCCUACUGCAUGGUGGGGGUUGGAAAGUUUCGGCGGUUGGGGAUGGACUCGCGGCUUAUUAGCUUGUUGGUGGGGUAGUGGCUUACCAAGGCUUUGACGGGUAGCCGGCCUGGGAGCGUGACCGGCCACAUUGGUACUGAGGUACGGCGCAGACUCCUACGGGAGGCAGCAGUGGGGAGUAUUGCACAAUGGGCGGGAGCCUGAUACAGCAACUCCGCGUGCGGGAUGACUGCCUUCGGGUUAUAAACCGCUUUCGCCUGUGACGAAGCGUGAGUGACGGUAAUGAAUAAAAAAGCACCGGCUAACUACGUG
rnacentral:rRNA from 1 species